rnacentral:rRNA from 1 species
UACGGGGGGGGUAAGCGUUGUUCGGAAUUACUGGGCGUAAAGGGUGCGUAGGCGGCUUUCUAAGUUGGAUGUGAAAACUCUGGGCUCAACCCAGAGCCUGCAUCCAAAACUGGAGAGCUAGGGUUCUGGAGGGGAAAGCGGAAUUCCUGGUGUAGCGGUGAAAUGCGUAGAUAUCAGGAGGAACACCGGUGGCGAAGGCGGCUUUCUGGACAGAUACCGACGCUGAGGCACGGAAGCUAGGGGAGCAAACAGG